CAAGCUGUGAGUUCGAUUUGACAAAAGAGAGGGAAAUCAAACCAGCAAGAUACUGUUGACGGACGAAGUGACAGUCAAGUUCAACAUGCUUCGUCCGUUCAUGAAAAACUGGGUUCUUUGCUAUGUGGAUGGCAGCGAGGCUAUCGGAAUGUAAAGGAAUAGGCAAGGAAAGCGGAACAGACAGAUCGUCAAAGAGGCGGACUAACCAGGUACCCCAAUCAGAGUCACAAAAGGCGAGGAGUUUGUAGCAGGAGGAAGAAGUCAUGUACAAACCAAGUCCUGGGUCCUUCAAAAGAUAGCGUAACACCCGAAAGGCAGCAGUAAGAUGUGGUUCACGAGGAUCUUGCAUAAACUGGCUCAAAUGUUGUACAGUGAAAGACAAAUCAGGCCUGGUGUGAGUAAGGGUAAGGCUUUCUUUCCGGUAGGCAGAACAACAACAUCCCAGGUAUGAUUUAACUGUAAAGCUUCAAUUUCCUUGUUCAUAGCUUCUUGCCAACCAGGAUGAUAAGAAGCCUGUGCAUAGCUAAUAGGUUCUUGGAUAGUAGAUAUAGAUUUAAGCAUGUCUUGAUUAACAGAAGAUAAGUGACUAAAAGAAAAACAUGCAACAUUAACUGGACAAAAGAAAUUGCUGGAAGUCAUAUCUGUGUGUGUGAUAGCAUUGCAUAUGUAAUCCUUGAGAUAGGAAGGAGUUUUUGGAAUCCUAGAGGACUGUCUAACUAUGGUUUCAACUAGGGGUUCAGGAGAAUUAGGAAUAGGAGAGUGUGAGAUAGCAGAAGAGGUAGGACUAGUGAUAGGAUCAGUAAGAGGGGAUAUAAGAUCUGUAGUGACAUUGCAAUCAUCAGAAGUAGUAUCAGGACCUGGAGACACAAAGAUAUCAGAUGAAAUAGUUUCUGGAUUCUCAUGAGAAAAUAGAUUUGGAGGAUGGUGGGGAGUAGGAGAGGAGAAAGGAUAAAAUUCCUCAUGAAAGACAACAUUUCUAGACACUGAAAUUUGCAUAGUCUUAAGAUUCAUAACCUUGUAUCCUUUUUUAUUGAAAGGGUAUCCUAUAAAUACACAUGGCAGAGCCCUUGGAUCAAAUUUGGAUCUAUGAUUUGGUAGAGUAGACACAAAACACAAACAACCAAAACACUUUAGAUGAGAAUACAAUGGCUUUGUGUUAAACAAAAGUUCAUAAGGUGUUUUAUAGUGUAAAACUUUAGA